UGCCGCCGCCGCCGCCGCUGCCGCUGCCGCUGCUGCUGCUGCUCGGAGGGCGCCCGCCGGGCGGUGUCAUGAUGAGGAGCUUCUCAGAAACAGAAGUGGAUGAUGAGUGGAGAUGAAGAAAUCAUACAUUUAAGAAGUUGGCUCAAGUUUCCGUUACAGGCAUGGAAAGUUUCUGAGACCAACCCAUGCGAGAAGAACAUGAGUAAAGAAGAGGGAGAUGUAGACCCAGACUUUCUAGAAGGGAUUGCAGGAUUUGAGAGGACGCUGCACAAACGUCACGUAGUUUGCUUGCUUAUUCAUUUACCUGCGCCCCUGGAUUGUAAUACUUUGUUUGCAUUAUCUGUUUGGAAGUUGAAAAAUCCCCUCACAUCUGUGUCUUUAAUAUAAUUGUGGCUUCAAGCUUGUUUUAGGAAGAGCAGAACAUUGCUGUAGUUUUUAUUUGUGGAUUAGAUAGCUGCUGCUUUGUACUUGAAAUCAAUUUUGGUUUUUUGUAGAAACGUACGUUGAAUAUGGAGAUCAGACCAUGACUGUUACAAAAUAGGAAAUCAGGGGUGACAGGUACAUAGGUAAAAGAAAAAAAAGAUAGUGGUAGCCCUCUAAUUUGAGUAACCUUAUAAUGCAUUGUUCUUAUGCUCUCCUUAGACAGAUGUCAGAAUCAAAUAUUAAUCAGUUCAAUCUUUUUUAUUUGACUGUUGGUCACAAAAAUAUGCCAGAUAGGUAAGAUUUCUUGGCAGGGCUGUGAGGUUUUAAGUGCAGAUUACUUAGUAUUGAGUUGGGGGAGAGCUUUUUAGAAAGGUAGGUUUUUUUAACAUCUUGGCUGUUAUGUGAAGUAUCUCCAAGGAAGUACUAGCCAUGCAGUCCAACAAGUUACGAUGCUGUGAACAGACUUCAUUGUAGUAAGUCUCUGAUAUGGAGUUUGACAUAUAUGUAUUUAAAAUUCUAAAAUUAAAUGUAAUUUCCUAUAUUGGCCAGUGUUGCUGGUAGAGGCAAAGAGCAUCUUUAUUUUUCUUAUGAACUCUUAUCUGGUGUUUUAUCCUCAAUAAAAGGCUAUGGUUAUUUUUGCAUACUGACUGAAUAUUUGGCCUUUAAGAGUAUAUAAUUAGAUGGAAGAGUAAAAGCAGUUGUUAAAGGACUGUUUUUCUAAUGAAAAUAGUUUGAAAUCGUAUAAUUUUAGUUUCUUCCGAAUAGAUGUGAUUAGUGUGUUGGAAAUAGUUUUACAGUGGAUAUAAAGGGAACAGUUGAGAGACAGUGGCUGAGAAUGUGUCCAGCUAUUUUUGUAGCUAAGAGUUAUAUUUUUUCUGUCUCUUUACGUAGAUAUUUCCAUAUAAUUGAACAGCUAAAUUACAAUUGGAUACAAAAACUAUUUGCACUUAGUAGUAUUUAUAUUUUUAAAUAGAUUUUAUUGUACUAAUUGAUAAGUAAAUUGCAAUGACUGUGAGAAAAUCCUAGCCUAUAUUAUUACUUUGAUAGAAAUUUGAAUAUGGGAUAGUAUUAUCUGUAUCAUAUAAAAAUGUUUUAAUGGAUUUUUAGCUGCUGAAACUGAAAUCAAUAAACUUUAGUUACUGUUGUUGACUGGAACAAGUAAAUCUGCACAUUUCUGUUUUCUUCGUAUUACCUCUGCCUCUAUGUUCACCUAGUGUUUCUUCCAGCAUUAUGCCUUUCAUGGUAUUUGCCUUCUUUAGAUCAACCCGUGAGGCACUCACUGUGGGCUUUUGCAUGUUCUUGUGGAAGACUUUCUUGAUGGAGAACUGUGCCUCUGAGUUUGUGCAAUUACUUUAUGUUUUCUGAAUAAACCCUAGAGAAUCCCAGGCGAAAUAAAAUCCCAGGAUUAGUAGAGUAGCCAGUGGGUCAGUUCAUAAUUUUUCUCAUAUUUUAAAUAUAUCUGUCAGUAACUGAUGGUUGUGUUUUAAAGUAGAUACAGAAUGGUCUUGUGCACACCUGAAUUUCAUGUUAGAUUAGUGACACCAGUGUAUCGCAGAUUGAAUGUACAUUAGUGAACAAUAUGGUCUAUGUUCUGGAUUACUUUGGAGAAUGGAAAAUACUUUUUGCUUGGUUGAGAAAUUUUUAAAACUGGAAAAGAUUAUGUUUAUUUUAAAACCCUGCUACUUCGGAUUUGAAAGAAACAAACUUGUAAUAUAGCCCAAAUUUAUUGUAAUCUGUUUAGUUAUUUGUAUUAAAUGAAGUGAUUCAAAGGUG